rnacentral:rRNA from 1 species
UACGUAGGGUGCGAGCGUUGUCCGGAAUUACUGGGCGUAAAGAGCUCGUAGGUGGUUUGUCGCGUUGUUCGUGAAAACUCACAGCUUAACUGUGGGCGUGCGGGCGAUACGGGCAGACUGGAGUACUGCAGGGGAGACUGGAAUUCCUGGUGUAGCGGUGGAAUGCGCAGAUAUUAGCAGGAACACCGGUGGCGAAGGCGGCUAUCUGGACGACAACUGACGCUGAGGCGCGAAAGCGUGGGGGAUCAAACAGG